rnacentral:rRNA from 1 species
UACGUAGGGGGCAAGCGUUGUCCGGAUUUAUUGGGCGUAAAGCGCGUGUAGGCGGCCAGAUAGGUCUGCUGUGAAAACUCGAGGCUCAACCUCGAGCUGUCGGCGGAAACCAUCUGGCUAGAGUCCGGAAGAGGAGAGUGGAAUUCCUGGUGUAGCGGUGAAAUGCGUAGAGAUGUGGAGGAACACCAGUGGCGAAGGCGACUCUUUGGCCUGUAACUGACACUGGAGGCGCGAAAAGCGUGGGGGAGCAAACAGG